rnacentral:lncRNA from 1 species
AUGGCGUUUAUCCACUCAGCUGUUAAGCCACUUAGAAAUGUGAGGAUCCAACAUGAGAUUCAUGGCACGGCUGUGACACUACCUCACCCAACAGACAGACCCAGGAUCCGUAAUUCGGAGAUCCGGCAGCGCGAGCUGUCCGCAGUGUGCCGGCCAGCUCGGAGAUCUCUGUGUGCGCCAGAGCAUUUCAUUAUUGUUUAUGUUAUUUUGUGUUUUGUGGCGAGAAUAAAGAUUAUCCUUUUUCUUUACUCUGCAUCUGAGUCCUCUGUCCAGUACGCUCUCGUGACAUAUAUAUAUAUAUAUAUAUAUAUAUAUAUAUAUAUAUAUAUAUAUAUAUAUAUAUAUAUAUAUAUUAGUGCUGUCAAAAUUAGCACGUUAACGCAUUCGAUUAAUUUGAAAUAUUUAACGCGUAAAAAAAAAAAUAACGCAAUUAACGCGGUUGCAGUUUUUUUUUUAUUUCCAGUUGUGGCCUAUGUGUGUUCAACGUGCAAAGAAAUAUGGACAAGACCAAGGAAGGACUUUUAGACGGAAAGUUUCAGUAUAAAACUCUGCCGGAUUACUCUUCAGUCUGCCACAAGAAACAUUACUCUUCAUUCAGUCUGCCACAAGAAACAGCAACAUUAAAAUCAUGAACUCAAAUGUCAUUGUUUAAAAAAAACAAAAAAAAACAAUGACUGUAACAGUGCGUAAAUCAGACCUUUCUGUAACGCUAACGUUAAUAAGCUUAAACGAAAAUAACGAAAUAAUUGUGUAGCGGAGUAUUUUUUGUACACAGAGCCGCGAACUGUCAAUCACUCCUGUACGCGUGCAUCACUGUCCUCCUCGCAGCUGCAGCAACUUGCGCUCUCUCUCUUCAUCAAGCUUUAAAACAAAAAGGGGACAAAAAGAUCAUAUUGUCUUUGUGCAUAGGCUAUAGAUUAAUUAGAUAAAUGAAUAUCUAAAUUUGUGCCUUGCCGUCUACGGUAUUUUUUUAGAACUUAGAAAAAAGAUGCUGCAGCCAAUGAGCAGCCAGCGGGGGCUGCAGGACGACUCAACCUCCGCAGACAGUUUUUAAUGUUUAUCAGACAAUAACUACUCAAGAUUUUGCUUUAGUAUAACUCACAACGAGUUUCACACACCUUCUCCGGCCACGUUGAGUUGUUGACACUUACAGAGGGAAAAGCGACACAUGCGCUAUUCACUUGUAUAACUUAAGGGUGAAUGGGUAAUGUAGUUUCUGCUCUGGGUGGGAUGAAUUAGGAAGCUUGCAUUGUGAAGGGCGCUCUGAAAAUCGGCAGUGCAGGUAAAAGAUUAAAACCUCUAUUAAAACAGAUGUCCAAAUGAGCGUACCGGUACGCUACAAGCACGUUCUGGGCGCACGGAGAGGUGGCGGUACGCUCAAGAGCUAUAUUUGGAAGUGGCGGUAGGCUACUGAGUACCCCUGCGUACUGGCCCACUUAAAGCACUGGCAAUGACUAUACUUUGGAAUUUUUUUGCAGUCCACUUAGAAUUCAACAUGGAAAUCAUUUUUGUUUUUUAUUGGCAUUGAUUGUUUUGAAAUUCAAAUGGUACUUACAUGCCUGUGUUUUUAUUUCUGUAAUAAAUAUGGCUUUCAAGCCAACAGUUAAUUUGGAGGAUAUUGAUGGUUUAUUGCAGGUAUGUUGUUUACAUGAGAAAAUCUGUGUUACAAGUUAAACAAAAAUUCCAAUAAACAAUCAUAUUUUGAAUUUAAAUAGUUUCUUUGUCUUGAGUUUACAUUAAUUAUUUACAUUUUACAUUUACAUAUACAAAAAGUUUCAGUCUUUUAAUUGCGAUUAAUCGCGAUUAAUUUUAAAAAAUUGUGCGAUUAAUUAGUUAAUUUUUUAAUUUUUGACAGCACUAAUAUAUAUAUAUAUAUAUAUAUAAAAAACAUGAAAAAAUGAAGCAGAUAUUUCUCAUGAAUUCCCUUUUUGAGGUAAAUUAUAUAUUAGAUUAUUAUAAUCUAAUACAAUUGUCACACCCCUGGUGUUACAAACACGCCAGGUUCCACCUCCACACAAUUACAGCGCACACCCUCACCUGAAUACUAGAUCACCACCACCUGUUCCUCAUCACCCACUCAUCAGCGCUGCACCAUAAAAGCCACACACACGCACUCAGUCUUCAUCCGGUCACGUUCGCGACAAGAUCAUUCCUGUAUGCUUACUAUAAGGACUAACUCCUCUUCUACUCUCUCCAGAGACUCUCUCCAAAGAACCCAGUUCCCCGAAGUGUGCAUGUGUGUGGUUCACCAUCCCUCCAAGAAGUCACAGCCUUACCUGCACGGAUCCUAACUCCUUCUCACUCCUCACUUCCUGCUCCUCUGCUUGUGUCUUUAAAAAUAAACAUCUUCAUCUGUUACCUCCUCACCUUCCUGAGUGAUCCAUAACAGAUGACCGGACCAAGACUGACAGGCACAAGCAUGAGCCUCACAGACCCAUUCCAAGAUCUGGUAGAUGCACUCCGUCGAACACUCAUGGCAGUCCCAGCAUCUCCUCCACCAGCGAGCACUUCCGACGACCCCCAUCAUCACUUCCUUACCUGCCGUGCACGCCAGUCCCAUGGCCAGGCCAGCGCCCUACUCUGGUUUGGCGGAGGAAUGCAGCGGAUUUCUCCUUCAGUGUUCACUGGUCCUGGGGAUGCAACCGCACAUGUAUCCAACGGACUGCUCUAAGGUAGCCUUUAUCAUUUCCCAAUUGCAAGGCAAAGCACUACUGUGGGCAGAUUCACUCUGGACUCAGAAUAACUCAGUUAUCCAGUCUUAUUCUAGCUUAAUCUAACAUUUUCGUGAAGUUUUCGGUAGACCUGCUUGGGACUCUUCGAUUUGUGAGAAGCUGUAUAAUUUAAAACAAGGGAAAAUGUCUGUCAAUGAAUAUGCCUUGCAGUUUAGGACUCUGGCGGCCUCCAGUGGAUGGAACGAACAGGCUUUGCUGACGACCUAUCGUCAAGGACUGGAACCCCGAGUGCGGUUGCAUCUCGCUGCAUAUUAGGAUACCAUCGGCCUCGAGAGAUUCAUCCAGUUAUCCAUUCGCUUCGCCACUCGUAUGCAGUCGUGCUUAGAAGAGCACCAGGGUCAGGCGCAUUCCUCCACUCCACUCUGCCGACCAGAUAAUGUCAGCUCCCCAGAACCAACCAGCGAACCUAUGAUUGUGGAUUCCUACCACCUCACGAUGGCGGAGCGUCAAAGACGGCUGGCCCAGAAUCUAUGCCUCUACUGUGCAGCCCCGGGGCAUACCAUAGCAGUGUGCCCCGUCCAUCCUCCUCGUCCCAUGGUGAGUGCCAUCCUCCCUUCAAGAUAUCAAAUGAGACCACUCACCACUGUUGUCACACUUACUGCCGCUGAUGUAUCUCUUCCAGUUUCCGCCCUCCUCGAUUCUGGGUCAGCCGGCAACUUCACCACUGGCCCCUCUGUCGUCAGCUCAAACUCCCCACUACGGCUACGCCGUCUGCCUACCAGAUCCACAUAAUCACCGGAAGGCCGUUAAGAAAGUAGUACAUAUGUCAUUGUGUUGGUCCCAUCUCCCUCAGAACUGGACUUCUGCACCAUGAGGAGAUCCAUCUGCUGGUUCUGGAGGAAUCCACCGCUGACGUUAUCUUAGGGCGCCCAUGGUUGGAGCAGCAUAACCCCAUGAUUUCUUGGAGAACCAGCGAGAUCCUGAAUGGGGCGAAGCCUGUUUCCAAUCAUGCAUCUCCAGUUGUCCCAUUCCUGUUGAGCACCCCCCUGAACCACUACCAGUCUCCUCCACCUCAUUUGAGAGCCCGAUCGAGCACCAGUCCAUCACCAUUCUUCAGUGCUACGCCCCCUCAGCGAUGUCUUCUGCCCUAAGCGGGCCUCCAAGCUGCCUCCAAACCGGCCAUGGGACUGUGCUAUUGAUCUGCUGCUGGGUGAACCAGUGCCAAAGGGAAGGACAUAUCCCCUA